GCAGACGUGAAUCAUUGAGUUGUUGAACGCAUAUUGCACUUCUUUUAACGGAGAAGUAUACCUUGCGAGCGUCAUUUCUCUCUCCACACCUAGUGGGUAUUGGCACUGUACACAGUGCUCAAAACAAUCAUGCGUAUGUGUUAACCACAAUGUGCGCUUAAAACUUAACUAUUGACCUCGUAUAAGGUAAGAGUACCCACUGAACUUAAGCAUAUCAAUAAGUGGAGGAAAAGAAACCAACAGGGAUUGCCUUAGUAGCGGCGAGUGAAGCGGCAAAAGCUCAAAUUUGAAAUCUGCCUUACGGCCGAGUUGUAAUUUGUAGAUGGUAACUCUGCGACAAGUCUUUGCUCAAGUGUUCUGGAAAGGACCAUCAUGGAGGGUGAUAAUCCCGUGAGGCAUUGAUGCAGUUGCGUGUAGAGUGCUAUCGAAGAGUCGAGUUGUUUGGGAAUGCAGCUCAAAGUGGGUGGUAGACACCAUCUAAAGCUAAAUAUUGGCGAGAGACCGAUAGCGAACAAGUACUGUGAAGGAAAGAUGAAAAGCACUUUGAAAAGAGAGUGAAAAAGUACGUGAAAUUAUUGAUACAGAAGGAUAUACAAUUGGACACGGAGUCUUGGGUUCGCUGCUUCUUCGGGAGUAGUUUGUCCCUUGAUUCUUCACCAGCAUCAGUUUUGGCAGGAGGAUAAACAACAUGGAAUGUAGCUGCUUGCAGUGUUAUAGACUUGUUGCAUACUCUUUGCCGGGACUGAGGUCAGCCUUUGUAGGAUGCUGGGGUAACGAUUGUAUAUCACCCGUCUUGAAAC
rnacentral:rRNA from 1 species